AAACAUAGGGGGCAAGCGUUGUCCGGAAUCACUGGGCGUAAAGGGCGCGUAGGCGGUCUGUUAAGUCGGAUGUGAAGUGUAAGGGCUCAACCCUUAACGUGCAUCUGAUACUGGCAGACUUGAGUGCGGAAGAGGCAAGUGGAAUUCCUAGUGUAGCGGUGAAAUGCGUAGAUAUUAGGAGGAACACCAGUGGCGAAGGCGACUUGCUGGGCCGUAACUGACGCUGAGGCGCGAAAGCGUGGGGAGC
rnacentral:rRNA from 1 species